UACGUAGGGGGCAAGCGUUGUCCGGAUUUAUUGGGCGUAAAGAGCGUGUAGGCGGCCUGACAGGUCUGCUGUGAAAACUCGAGGCUCAACCUCGAGAUGUCGGCGGAAACCGUCUGGCUAGAGUCCGGAAGAGGAGAGUGGAAUUCCUGGUGUAGCGGUGAAAUGCGUAGAUAUCAGGAGGAACACCGGCGGCGAAGGCGGCUUCCUGGACCGAUACUGACGCUGAGACGCGAAAGCGUGGGGAGCAAACAGG
rnacentral:rRNA from 1 species